UAAUGCCGCUGGACUGCACCACACCUCAAAAGAAGGACACAACUUCAAAAUACCGAGGCACUCAGGACAAAGGCAGCAAAACUCUUGUUGGCGAUCGCGAAGAGAAACUUUUCACGGAGCUUUCAUCAAUGGAAAGACUAGUGCUAAGGUGUCGGUCCUCCAGGCCGGGUCGUACCGGGCCACCCGGAUGGUCUUUGGCCCGCAGCAGCCGCCGAUGCCGACCAGCGUGAUGUCCGGAAUCUGGUGUGGAGCCGUGGUCGUGUAGGUUGGACUGGCACCGUCGUUUUGGUGAAUGGUGAUGUCGCCACUGCUGUAGUGCACGGUGAACGUAAUAAACUCCGAAUCGCUGGUAA